rnacentral:rRNA from 1 species
UACGUAGGGUGCGAGCGUUAAUCGGAUUUACUGGGCGUAAAGCGUGCGCAGGCGGCCCGUUAAGACAGCUGUGAAAUCCCUGGGCUCAACCUAGGAACUGCGCUGGAGACUGGCGGGCUCGAGUACGGUAGAGGGGGGUGGAAUUCCUGGUGUAGCGGUGAAAUGCGUAGAGAUCAGGAAGAACACCGAUGGCGAAGGCAGCCCCCUGGGCCGGUACUGACGCUGAGGCACGAAAGCGUGGGGAGCAAACAGG